rnacentral:rRNA from 1 species
AGAGUUUGAUCCUGGCUCAGGAUGAACGCUAGCGGCAGGCCUAAUACAUGCAAGUCGAGGGGCAGCACGGUAGCAAUACUGGUGGCGACCGGCGCACGAGUGCGUAACACGUAUACAAUCUGCCUUUAACAGGGGGAUAGCCCGGAGAAAUCCGGAUUAAUACCCCAUAACAAUUUUUACGGCAUCGUAGAGAUUUGAAAGCUCCGGCGGUUAGAGAUGAGUAUGCGCCUGAUUAGCUAGUUGGUGAGGUAACGGCUCACCAAGGCGACGAUCAGUAGGGGAUCUGAGAGGAUUAACCCCCACACGGAUACUGAGACACGGAUCCGACUCCUACGGGAGGCAGCAGUAAGGAAUAUUGGACAAUGCCCGCAAGGGUGAUCCAGCCAUGCCGCGUGCAGGAAGACGGCCCUAUGGGUUGUAAACUGCUUUUACACCGGAGAAAACCCCGCUACGUGUAGUGGGCUGAUAGUAUGGUGAGAAUAAGCAUCGGCUAACUUCGUGCCAGCAGCCGCGGUAAGACGAAGGAUGCAAGCGUUAUCCGGAUUCAUUGGGUUUAAAGGGAGCGUAGGUGGCCUUAUAAGUCAGUGGUGAAAUCUCUGGGCUUAACCCAGAAAUUGCCAUUGAUACUGUAGGGCUUGAGUACAGUUGCUGUGGGCGGAAUAUGACAUGUAGUGGUGAAAUACAUAGAGAUGUCAUAGAACACCGAUUGCGAAGGCAGCUCACAAAACUGUAACUGACACUGAGGCUCGAAAGUGUGGGGAUCAAACAGGAUUAGAUACCCUGGUAGUCG